ensembl:snRNA U2 U2 spliceosomal RNA
AGAUAAUCUCUGCCUUUAGGCUAAGAUCAAGUGUAGUAUCUGUUCUUGUCAGUUUAAAAUCUGAACAGAAUUUUAGAACGGGGAGAUGGAAAAUGGGCUUAAUCUGUCUGUUCUACGGAACCACCCGGUAUUGCAGUGCCUCUGGUAAUGGAGCACACACA